rnacentral:rRNA from 1 species
UACGAAGGGGGCUAGCGUUGCUCGGAAUCACUGGGCGUAAAGCGCACGUAGGCGGCUUCUUAAGUCAGGGGUGAAAUCCUGGAGCUCAACUCCAGAACUGCCUUUGAUACUGGGAAGCUCGAGUCCGGGAGAGGUGAGUGGAACUGCGAGUGUAGAGGUGAAAUGCGUAGAUAUCUGCAGGAACACCCGUGGCGAAGGCGGCUCGCUGGACCGCAACUGACGCUGAGGAACGAAAGCUAGGGGAGCAAACAGG